AUACGGAGGGUGCGAGCGUUAAUCGGAAUUACUGGGCGUAAAGCGUACGUAGGCGGUUAGUUAAGUUAGAUGUGAAAGCCCCGGGCUUAACCUGGGAACUGCAUUUAAAACUGGCUAACUAGAGUUAAGUAGAGGGGAGUGGAAUUUCAGGUGUAGCGGUGAAAUGCGUAGAGAUCUGAAGGAACACCAGUGGCGAAGGCGACUCCCUGGACUUGAACUGACGCUGAGGUACGAAAGCGUGGGUAGCAAACGGGAUUAGAAACCCUUGUAGUCC
rnacentral:rRNA from 1 species